rnacentral:rRNA from 1 species
AAUGGGCGAAAGCCUGACGGAGCAACGCCGCGUGAGGGAAGAAGGCCUUCGGGUUGUAAACCUCUGUUUUCAGGGAAGAAAAAAAUGACGGUACCUGAAGAGUAAGCUCCGGCUAACUACGUGCCAGCAGCCGCGGUAAUACGUAGGGAGCGAGCGUUGUCCGGAUUUACUGGGCGUAAAGGGCGCGUAGGUGGUCUAUUAAGUUAUAGGUGAAAGCCCGGGGCUCAACCCCGUGAUUGCCUGUGAUACUGGUAGACUUGAGUGCAGGAGAGGGGAGCAGAAUUCCCAGUGUAGCGGUGAAAUGCGUAGAUAUUGGGAGGAAUACCAGUGGCGAAGGCGGCUCUCUGGACUGUAACUGACACUGAGGCGCGAAAGCGUGGGGAGCGAACAGGAUUAGAUACCCUGGUAGUCCACGCCGUAAACGAUGAGUGCUAGGUGUUGCGGGUAUCGACCCCUGCAGUGCCGCAGUAAACACAAUAAGCACUCCGCCUGGGGAGUA